rfam:Oryza rufipogon genomic scaffold, chr03
AAAAAGACAAACCCUGGGUUUGCGUGUCCAACUUUGACUGUCCGUCUUAUAUGAAAUUUUUUUAUAAUUCGUAUUUUUAUUGUUGUUAGAUGAUAAAACAUGAUUAAUACUUUGUGCGUGACUUGUCUUUUUAAUUUUUUUCAUAAUUUUUUCAAAUAAGACGGACGUCAAACAUUGGACACGAAAAUUAGGGAUUGUCUUUUU